UUUGUUUGUGUAAGGAGGAGAUAGUCAUCUUGACGUCAAUCAAAGGAGUAUUGAUGGAUGAAACCACAACCCUAGAUGAGGUACUCUGCCUUCUCUCACUCUUGUUGGUCUUUGACUCUAUUGAUUUUUUUUCUACAAUUCUGACAUGUGAGUAGCAAAAAUGUACUUAAUUUAGUUUGGAUGUGCUGAUGGCAUAACUAUAGUCUAUUUUAUUAUACUGGACAUUUAUUCAUGCAUAAUUGCAGGUCUUUGGCAUAUUUUAAAAACUCGACAAAUUCACAUAAAUUUAAUCUCAAAAUCUAAUGUUGUAUGUGAUUGGUAGCUUCAAAUUCACCGAUAAUUGAAUUUAAUUACACGUGUCAGUGUAGUGUCGAUGCUACGGUGCUCUGUAAUUUAGUUUGUCAUAUAAAUGAUCAAAGUUUUUGUACCCAUAUAUUAUUUUUAGGAAUAUUUCAUUCUUUAAUUUGUUGCACAUAUUGAAAGGAAAAGACUUUAGGUUAAAAAAGUGAUCAAAAGAAGCAAUGUUUCAAGCAUCUACUAGUACAAAUUAGGGCAAUCAAUAUGCUAAUCUCUUGAAGUCAAUCACUAUAUGGUGACUAAAAAAAAUUGGAUUAGUACCAUAUUAAUCAGUAUACUCUUUUUAUGGCGAAAUCACACUGGAUGAGAAUCAUAUUAAUCAGUAUACUCUUUUUAAGCAUCUACUGUAUAUGGCGAAAUUUACAGGCACAAAGUACUCAGAAGUAGGGAAUCUCGGGUUCGAACUCACGCCUUCUACACAUCAGGCACACAUAAACUACUCUCCAUCUGUGAACCUUUUUCCCUGAAUAAUUAAUGGGUCAAGCAACGGCUCAGUUAAUUGUUUGGUUUUGCAGAGUAUUAAAGAUGUAUGAAACCAUUAAUCAGGGGACACUUUUGCUGGUAAUUAAUAAGUAAUACUUGGCUUUUUUGCAGCAUAGAGUCGUUGGAUAUGUCCAUAGCUACAUAGAAUAGAGUGAACCGAAUUUGGCUUUGAGUUUGAUUAGAGUAGUUGGAUAUGAGCAAACACUUUGCUCCUUAAUGUAGCGUCCUCCUUCAUUCACUCCUUUGUUUUUCUAUAUUUCUUUUGGACGUUCCAAUUUUUUGAAUAUGGGAUGAUAAAAGCAGAUUCAACUCUUCUUGAUCUCAACUCU
rnacentral:lncRNA from 1 species